AAGUUUCACAAAAAAUCCGUCAACUACAGUACAAAUUUAAUUAUGUGGAGGUACACAUGGCACGAUAAUUACUUACUUUUAUCAUAUCCAUAUUCCAGCUGAGAAUGAACAUCCUUCCCACUCCACCACUAAUUCCGUUGCAGACCACAUACACGGGAACCACAAAAGAUUCUCCUCAUCUCACACGUAGAAGCAUGUAAACUACAUCGUAGGAAGUCCUGGUAGACAUUGAGAUGUUUCUUGCCUUCACACUCAAGUUCAGAAACAUCCACGACCAUGACCUAUAUACAGAUUCUAAUGAAACAAAGGCACAGACACUAUUUCCAGCGAAUAUUCCUCCGAAUCACAUGCUAUACAACAGCUGUCACUUACGAUCAAUGAAUAUGAUAAGCAUGGAUCUGCUAAAUAAAGAUGUACAAUUCAAUGAAAUAGAUCGGCACAAAGACUCAUGCGUAUUGUGCUGCCAUCUCCAAAUUAUAGGCACAUAAACAACAUUGAGGAAGAAGAUGGACGCAGUAGCACAGUCGAACUCAACUCCUCGGAGCGCUGCGUCCUUGUUUCUUUCUGAUUGUGAUUAUUGCUCGAAAGCCUGUAGCAACUUCAUGGCUUUCUGAGCAACAAUCAAAAACAUAAAGAACAAGCCUUCCAUUUCGAGCUGGAUCAGAUGGACCACGAAGAUCGGCGGCAUCAAGCAGACAGCAGUCUUCUGACGUCUGGAGGACCUCGCUGCAUCGAACUCGGACGGGCAAUUCUAGACAGAAGAAAGGCCGUUGAUAUGGCUGGCUGCUAUGGCACGUAUUGUCACAGACAAUACUUGUUUCGCGUGUUUUAGCACGAAAUAAAUAAUUCUGGGACGUAAUGGAGACAUCACGUCCAGAUGACCUGUCA